UAGAAAGGGGCGAAAGUUAGGAGAAAAACAAAAAAGAGAAGAACAACAGAAGUAGAAAAUAAUAAGAUGAAGAAUAUUUAGGAUUUAGGAGUAACAACUAUAUAUAAUCUGAGAGUGGUAAACGAAGAGAAGGGAUCGAGCUUUUGAGUUGUUUAUCCAUCGUGAUCAGGAAUAAGAUAUGAGUGAAGUAUUUGGUUGA